GCGGACAUGACGUGUGGCUGUCGUAAAAACCCUAUUUGUAAACAACCAGUCCUUUAACUCAGCGCUGCGUCAUAAACACGGCGCGCUUGGAAGACCACGAUGUCAUCUUCCUUCUGUCAGGAGGAUCCCAGUGAAGCUACAGGAGUUUCAUUAACGUCAACAACUUGGACCGAACAGUUUGUUUUGCUUGAUGAAGAGCAGGAAGGGCAGCCUGGAGAGAAAGAGAAGCCGGGUUGAGCCCACUACCAUCAUCCACGUACCACGAGGAAGAUGAGGGAGAGAAAUGAUCCUACCAUUAAAGAGACUGUGAAAAGA